GACAGAGGGGGCAAGCGUUGCUCGGAAUCACUGGGCGUAAAGGGCGCGUAGGCGGGAUGGCAAGUCGGUCGUGAAAUCCUUCGGCUCAACCGAAGAACGUCGGCCGAUACUGCCGUUCUUGAGGGAUGCAGAGGAGAUUGGAAUUCCCGGUGUAGCGGUGAAAUGUGUAGAGAUCGGGAGGAACACCGGUGGCGAAGGCGACUUCCUGGCCUGUUCUUGACGCUGAGGCGCGAAAGCUAGGGGAGCAAACGGG
rnacentral:rRNA from 1 species